AGAGUGACGCGGACUCUGGGUACGGUGCGAAGGCACAUGAGAUAAUUGGCCAAGUUAGACGAAGGGGCUUUAGACACGAGAAGACCAAGAUGAUGCGUGUUGGUGGUGCUGUCCAUUGGAGCUGCUGCCGGCGUCCGCCCUCUCCUACCGUGAUGGCCUUCUUGUUUGACUCCAUGUGUUUAGAUGCAAGUUUUACAAGGCUUCAUGGUAGCAUCGAAGCCUGGAGGGUGGAAGAACAUGAAGCAGAAGCUAAACUCCUUUUGCUUGCAAAACCAACUGAAUACCUGGGUU